UACGUAAGGGGCAAGCGUUGUCCGGAAUCACUGGGCGUAAAGCGCACGUAGGCGGUUUAGUAAGUUGGGGGUGUAAGCUCCAGGCUUAACCUGGAAAUUGCCUCCAAAACUACUUUACUUGAGUAUUAGAGGGGAAGCUGGAAUUCACGGUGUAGCGGUGAAAUGCGUAGAUAUCGUGGAGAACACCCGUGGCGAAGGCGGGCUUGACUGGGCUAUGACUGAACGCUGAGGUG
rnacentral:rRNA from 1 species